GCAAGCUUUAAGUCCACGCAGAAAGCAGUAGUAAGGAUUCUCUAACGUUCGACUGGACGUCCACCAUCUGUUUCUGUUGGUAACGUUGUGUUCCGGGCUACUUUCGUGCAAGCUGUGAGCACAUUUUGGUCCAAUGUCGCCUCCAGUGAGUUAGUGCCUUAUGACCCCAACAGCCCGCCGCAGAACUCAUCUUCUUGUACGUACGACGAUUGUUCCUGCUCAUCAAGCCAAUGUGCUUUAGCCAUUCGUGUCACAGGGCAUCGUAUGCUGCUACAGCUGCUGGUUGUGCUGUUUGCUGCUGUUCUGUACUAUCUGUAGCACAGGUUCUCAUACUGUUCUGUAGCACAGGUUCUCAUACUGUUCUGUACCAUCUGUAGCACAGGUUCUCAUACUGUUCUGUACCAUCUGUAGCACAGAUUCUCAUACUGUUCUGUACCAUCUGUAGCACAGGUUCUCAUACUGUUCUGUACCAUCUGUAGCACAGGUUCUCAUACUGUUCUGUACCAUCUGUAGCACAGGUUCUCAUACUGUUCUGUACCAUCUGUAGCACAGGUUCUCAUACUGUUCUGUACCAUCUGU